rnacentral:tRNA from 1 species
GCCGACACCGCUCAUGUGGAAGAGCGGCGACCUUGUAUCUCGCCGAGGCCGGUUCGACUCCGGCUCACGGCUCCU